rnacentral:tRNA from 1 species
CCUCUUGUGGAUUCAUGGUCAGAGUAUUGGUCCAUAAAACCAAAGGUCUCGGGAUCGAUUCCCGGCGAAGGUG